rnacentral:lncRNA from 1 species
UUUUUUUCAUUCACGUGAAUCUUGGUCAAAAAGUCAUUAACCCUAGUAGGCCCCAUGUGAUUUUUCAGAAUUUGUUCCACUUCUCUCUUCCCAAAACCUGCGCCCUCUCUCUCCUUAUUUUACCAAAUAUUCAACACACUAUUUACUACCUUUUCCAAACUCCUCUUUCCUAUACACUUGACCAUUAUUUUUCACCUAAUCCCAUCAAAUCUCACAUCUACCUCUUUAACUUUUAUUUAGCAAAAUAUUACAAACCUAUCACUACAGGUUUCUUCUUCGAAAAUCAAACUUUUCUCU